AUGGGAACUGUCUGCCGGCUGCUCUUGUGGAAGCAGUCAGAUUGAGUGUUUGUAGCUGGGGGACUUGAAGCAGAGCGACGUGCUCCCUCUUCUCCCAAACAAACCAGGACAGCUGGAAGGGCUGAGGCUGGCUGGGAAGGCCGCGGGACGGGAAUCGCCUCCUGAGGGUGACCAGGCAGAAAUCAGUGCUCUUUGCUAACGGCUCCUUCCGCUCUGAACACCAAGGCCUGGUGAAGCAGGAGGAGGUAAAUGCUGUUUGUGGAGGAGGCAGGGCUGGUUUGCCUGGUUGCAGGCAGGGCCAGCUGCCGCAGCCGUGACCCAGCCACAGAAAUCUGAGCCCGCCAGCAGUUGUGCUGGGAGGGCUGUGCUCUCACGUUUCCGUUCUGUUGUGGAGCCUCUGAUAAGUAGUGGCCUUGCUUUUUUCCUUCCUUCCUUUCUUCCUUUCUUUCUCCCUCUCUUUUUAUUUAUUUAUUUAUUUAUUUUCCGAACGUACUUCCACAGUCUCAAGGAAGGAAUUUAAUAAAAAAAAAAAAAAAAAAAAGAGAGAGAGAGAGAGAGAGAGCUCUGGAAUGGGAACAAGUAUGUUUCAAAUUACAGAAAGGAUGUUAAAGGUUCAAGAAUUUGCGAUCUGACUCCGCCUGUGUCUGUCUCCACCUCCCAGAGAGCAGCUCCACUUGUGGCUUUUCCACCACGGCGGUGGGGCUGCGCUGCCAGGGGUUGGGCCGUGCCUGGUGGGUACCGUGGUGGAGCAGCGGCCCUGCAGAGGCAGUGGGCCUGUCACACAGCAGGCCUGUUGGGUCACUGGGCCUGCCGGGAUGUGGCCGUGCUGGGACGUGGCCUUCCAGCCUGAGCCAUGCCCGGCUGUCGCUGGUGGGGCCUCCCGCACCCUCACAAGCUGCAUUUUCAAGGGGUUCAGAAAACCUUUUUAGCAGUGCACAGUUUGGCUUGAGCGUGGUCCUUUUUUUGUCUCCUAGGGUGUGUAUGUGCAGGACUUUUCCUUCCAGUGGUUCGGCUCCAUCCCAGGAAUGUGCUGGGACCCACUUCUGAGAGCACAGCGCCCUCUGCUCGGUGGAAAUGGACAAAGGUGCACGGCCCUCCCGUGCUGGCACCCCGAGAAAAGCAGUGGUGCCGUGAACACCACCCUUGCCUCACAGUGGGGCCAGGCCCCAGGGUCUGAGGCUGUGCUAUGGGCUGUAAAGCCGUGCUAUGCUCUGGUCCCAGCUCCCCAGCUCAGACUUCUCAGCACGUGUGUACUCAGAGUCACUGGCGCUCCCACACCGGCUACACAAAGAUGGGUGGGAAGGAACCACUUGCAAAGAGGACAGUCACAAUGGCUUGAUCUUCCCUGAAGUGUUGCCGCGGCACCCGGGAAAUCGGUCUGAAUGGGACCUCCUUCUGCUGGGUAACAUCUGUUACAGAAAGAUGAUGUUCACUGCAAGAGAUCUACAUGUU
rnacentral:lncRNA from 1 species